rnacentral:rRNA from 1 species
AUGAUUGGGGAAAUUGGAAAUGGGCGCAAGCCUGAUCCAGCCAUGCCGCGUGCAGGAUGAAGGCCUUCGGGUUGUAAACUGCUUUUGUACGGAACGAAAAGACUCUUUCUAAUAAAGAGGGUCCAUGACGGUACCGUAAGAAUAAGCACCGGCUAACUACGUGCCAGCAGCCGCGGUAAUA